UCUCCUGCUACAUCUAUCUCUGUCUCUUUCUCCAUCUCCCUCUCCGUCUUGUGCUACCUCUCCCUCUCGGCGCAUCGUCUCCAUUGCCACCAUCAUUGUCUCGAAAUCUGGUGCAGCCAGCAGCUCCCGCCCUUCACAUCUUCCCUGAUAGGUUCUUAUAUACAGAGAUUGGACAUCUUCAGAACAUUCACAAUAGCCAUAGAUGUAGUGGAAAUGAACAAUUGCAAGUUGAUGAUUCUACAAGCUCGUUUUUCUCUCAGGGACAGAUUUUCCUGACCAAGGAAAAUGCAAAAUGAGACCAGGCUGGAAAUUGCAUCUAUAUAUCACACAAAUGCCAUAACUGUGAUUUAUGGGGGUCCACUACCCACUUACAGAGUUUUCUCUCUUUUUGUUGGUCUUUUCUUUCUUCCAUGAAGAUAUUGGUCAUGGCCUUUGUGUUUGGCUGUGCUUCGGUUAGCUCACCCCUAAACUGGAAUGGAUCCACUGCCUAGUUCUGAAGAAUCAAGUUUAAGGUAAGUAUACAAGGUUUGGCAUCUUGUAUUAAAAAUAAAAAUAACUUAAUCUAUGGUUUGCAUAAAGUGAAUCUCGUCAUUGUGGAGUUUCUUUUGGUAGUGUUUAUUUACUGUGUGAAAUCAAUUCUAGGACUUAUCUAGGUGUAAGGAAACAUUGUCAACCCUUAAAGCCAUGCAGGGGCAAGGAGCCUAUCCACAACUAGAGUUGGACAUAACUCACCUUGAAAAGGAAAUUGAGUUAUAUUCAUUGGAGAAGCUGUGUUAUGAAGCUCAAAUGAUGGUAUGGUAAAUGAGAAGGCUUCAUCUCCUUUUCAAAUAGGAAAUUGCUUCACAUCUGGGCUUUCCUGAUGGUUCUGUAAGCCACUAUGGUAUGGAUGUUGAUGUUAAUAGUGUGUUAUUAAUGGCUAACAUUGUUCUUUAUGGUUCUUUUCAAGAGGAACAAGGUUUUCCUCCAUUGCUAAUUAGAGCC